AUGUUUCCAAAUUUUGUCUCUAGCUGCACCUUGAAGAUCAUUCGUUCAUCUGUUUUCCAUUUUCGUAGAUCGAUGAGGUGGCCCUUGAUGAUGUGCCACAUGUUAUAGGAAACUACCAUAUUUGUGUGGUGAAGAACAAGCGCCUCGACUCAGAUACUAUAGCUUGAGUGAAACAGAUGAAGCUUAUAAUGCAAUAUGGUGUCGGUCUGGAAGGUGUUGAUAUUGACACUGCCACCAAAAAUGGAAUAAAAGUUGCCAGGAUUCCAGGUGACUUCACGGGAAAUGCAGCAUCCUGUGCAGAGAUGGCUAUUUACCUGAUGCUGGGUUUACUCCGAAAGCAGGUAUGUUUGAUCACUGGAAAAAUCUUGAGUAGCUGGCAUGUGAUUCAUUCUUACACGCAGAGUCCACAGGUCAGGUUUGUCGUAUGUCGUGCUUAUUUUUGUUCCUUCAUAGGGAAUGACAGGUUGAAUAUUUUAGCUGUAACAUUUUCUGAAAUGUGAAUAAAUCCCCUAUUGUUU